UACGUAGGGUGCGAGCGUUAAUCGGAAUUACUGGGCGUAAAGCGUGCGCAGGCGGUUCGCCAAGUCAGGUGUGAAAUCCCCGGGCUUAACCUGGGAAUUGCGCUUGAAACUAGCGGGCUUGAGUGCGGCAGAGGGGGGUGGAAUUCCACGUGUAGCAGUGAAAUGCGUAGAGAUGUGGAGGAACACCGAUGGCGAAGGCAGCCCCCUGGGCCUGCACUGACGCUCAUGCACGAAAGCGUGGGGAGCAAACAGG
rnacentral:rRNA from 1 species